UUUUUCUGUCGUGACCUGAAAAGUGAAAAGUCAUCUUUUCGAUGGAUUCUAGGGUUCUUCCUUUUCUCAAGAUCCGUUUAGGUCAAACUGUAAUGGAGGUUCUCUGUGUCAGAUAUUCAUAUUGAAUCUCUAUAUCCACGCCAUCCACGAUUACACAUUCAAUCCUUCUCGACUCCCUUCCAGUCGGUGAAAAUUUUCCUAUAUAAAGCGUGGUGGUGUGCCUCCUCAGGUUUUGAGAAGCCAGAAGCGAGCUCAUGGGUGACUCUAAGGCGACACUUAUGCCAACAACCGUGAACCAUCCCAGCGUCUUCUUGGCGAGCAGCUCGAUCCUCCGUGAUUGCUAAGCAACAGCAAAACGGAAACCUCUCGGGAGAGGCUACUACUACCACCUUGGUACCUUCUACCUCCAACUCUAAUCUGGAUUGAGUCAAAACCGAGCCUGUGAGACAGAUUCAUCUCAGCGAUUGGUUCCUGAUCAGAACGUGUGUCCUAACGAGAACAGUCUAUCAGGCAAGAGAAAAGAACUCGAGAAAGAGGUUAAUAAAUCUCAACAAAGAAGAAGAUUUGUGAAACGGAUCAAGAAGAAAAGGUGGUGGAGAAGAUGACGUCAUCUCUGACUUUGGAAGCUGUGGAGGAUGAAUGGUUGGUUUCGAACUCUUACAUUUGAGAAAGUUGCUGUAACUAAGAAGUAUAUCAAUAUGACCAUUACAACCAUUCAUCCUCCAUGAGACACAAACGCAUGAGACACAUCCAACAGCCUAAAGAAAAGUCACUUAUUCAUAUAACCUGUUUGUUGAUAUUCCUAAGAGAAUAGUAAAGUGAUGUUUUGCAUAGUUUCACGAACAUUUGUUUUCUUAAUGGUGUUAUUUUAGGAGUUGAAAUAUUUUUUUUCUAAUAAUGAGUUGUGAGUUGUCAACUGAA